rnacentral:rRNA from 1 species
AUACGGAGGAUCCGAGCGUUAUCCGGAUUUAUUGGGUUUAAAGGGUGCGCAGGCGGCCAUUUAAGUCAGCGGUUAAAUCGUGGGGCUCAACCCCAUUCUGCCGUUGAUACUGGGUGGCUUGAUUGCGGUCGAGGUUGGCGGAAUUCGUUGUGUAGCGGUGAAAUGCAUAGAUAUGACGAAGAACGCCGAUUGCGUAGGCAGCUGACCAGACCGCAAAUGACGCUCAUGCACGAAAGUGCGGGGAUCGAACAGGAUUAGAUACCCUGGUAGUCCGCACAGUAAACGAUGAAUACUUGUUUUCGGCGAUAUAAUGUCGGAGGCAAAGCGAAAGCGAUAAGUAUUCCACCUGGGGAGUACGCCGGCAACGGUGAAACUCAAAGGAAUUGACGGGG